rnacentral:rRNA from 1 species
UACGUAGGGUCCGAGCGUUGUCCGGAAUUAUUGGGCGUAAAGAGCUCGUAGGCGGUCUGUCGCGUCGGCUGUGAAAACCUGGGGCUCAACUCCAGGCCUGCAGUCGAUACGGGCAGACUAGAGUUCGGUAGGGGAGACUGGAAUUCCUGGUGUAGCGGUGAAAUGCGCAGAUAUCAGGAGGAACACCGGUGGCGAAGGCGGGUCUCUGGGCUGACACUGACGCUGAGGCACGAAAGCUAGGGGAGCAAACGGG